rnacentral:rRNA from 1 species
AAAGAAAGAGGGAGGAAGGAAGAACACAGGCAAGUCGAACGAGACCUUCGGGUCUAGUGGCGCACGGGUGCGUAACGCGUGGGAACCUGCCCUUAGGUUAGGAAUAACUCCCCGAAAGGGGUGCUAAUACCGGAUAAUGUCUUCGGACCAAAGAUUUAUCGCCUUUGGAUGGGCCCGCGUUGGAUUAGCUAGUUGGUAGGGUAAAAGCCUACCAAGGCGACGAUCCAUAGCUGGUCUGAGAGGAUGAUCAGCCACACUGGGACUGAGACACGGCCCAGACUCCUACGGGAGGCAGCAGUGGGGAAUAUUGGACAAUGGGCGAAAGCCUGAUCCAGCAAUGCCGCGUGAGUGAUGAAGGCCUUAGGGUUGUAAAGCUCUUUUACCCGGGAUGAUAAUGACAGUACCGGGAGAAUAAGCUCCGGCUAACUCCGUC